UUUGGGCCUACAUGGAUCCCUCCAUGCAGGCUUUGGUCGGCUUCCCUGUCCGAUCUCUGGCUUACCCCCUUGAUUGCAACUAACCUGCGAAACUUCCUCAGGCCAGGCUCCCUUAUAGGUUGUACUACCUGUUUUGUGCAUCAGGGCUCCAGAGGACAAAAUGUUAAUUUAAGCUAACGGGAAGCAGAAUCUCAGGCUUGAAGUACCCUGAUUUCAUGUUAGUGAUAAUCAUGUCCUAACCUCUUCUGCCGUUCUGAACCAGCUGGCAGAGUUUGCAGAUGAGGCUAUUAGGUGCUCAGCUAGCUCAUCCUGAUGUGGUGAUUGGGGCAGUGAAUACCACACACACACAUAGCAAUAGCAGAUGUGCUGUGGGAGUCUCAGGUCUCACUUUCACCCACAGGCAUUUUAGAUGAAGAAGAAGAAGAAGAUAUACUUUAUCAAUCCCGCAAGGGGAAAUUCAGUGUUUGAUGAUCUGGAACACUGAUGCAGUUACUGAGUCCUGGGUGCGUCUGACUUCCUGGGUUGGCACCUGCUGGCAAUCACAGACCUGUUCCUGAUCAGCCAUCCCCACCACUUCUUAAGGAGAGGCAUCCAUUCCCUGCAGGACUGCGGACUGGUGUGCCGUAGGUUAAGCCUACGUCUAGCUCAGCGCCUGUUUUUGUAAAGUAACCUGUUCGCCUUUACUAAUUUCUGUCUCCAGAUUGCCCGUUCAACCCGUUCAGCCUGCCUGCCAGUUCCAAACCCCUGGAGCCACUAGAAGAUCCAAUCCUUCUUGCCAAUCUCCAGCCAUCCACGCCAGCCCCAGCCCUCACUCCCCUACUGCUUAGAAGGAAACAACCUGUGACCUCACCCUGCCUUAGUUCACCCACUCCACCUUCAUAAAUAAACUGUUUAAACUUCU